UACGAAGGGGGCUAGCGUUGCUCGGAAUUACUGGGCGUAAAGCGCACGUAGGCGGCUUGUUAAGUCGGGGGUGAAAUCCUGGAGCUCAACUCCAGAACUGCCUUUGAUACUGGCGAGCUCGAGUUCGGGAGAGGUGAGUGGAACUGCGAGUGUAGAGGUGAAAUUCGUAGAUAUUCGCAAGAACACCAGUGGCGAAGGCGGCUCACUGGCCCGAUACUGACGCUGAGGUGCGAAAGCCAGGGGAGCAAACGGG
rnacentral:rRNA from 1 species